AGCGCACCCGGGGUGGGGAGGGUGUCGUGGCAGGCAGGGAGCCGCCGGGACCGCCGCGGGAGGGAUGCCACGCCGCUGGUCCUGGCUUUUCCCUUUGGGAACUCCGCUCAGGUGUCUCCCAGCACCCUGCCCCGGGCAGGGGGUCCCCCUUGCCCUGCCAGCUCUCCGCAGGAACUUCUCCCGCUGAACUGGAGGAUGCUGCAAGCUCCUGCGGACGAGCCGGAGGAGUCCUGUGGCAAAGUCAAGGCGAGCAGAGAAGCAGCGUGCUUCCCGGGUGUCACCGCAGCUCGCUGCCGCCAGCCCAGCCUGCUGCGGCCGGUGUCACCUCCAGGACCGAGCUGCUCCUGGUAGAGAACACGGGGGGCUGCCCCGGCCGGGGACUCACAGCCGCUCUGUGGAUAUGGAGAAUUCAUGGAAGAGGGGCUCCUCCAGACCACAGCUCCCUGGGACCGGGAUUAGAGCAGAUUGAUCGCAGCUCUCGCUCCUGCCCAGCCCACCAUGGUUCCCGUGGCAUGCUUCGCACUAUUCGUCAUAGGAAUUGCAAUUGUAGGUGAGCGCCAGGCACGGGGCAAGCAGCACCUGGCUUUGCUGGUUGUGCUGCUGAGAAGAAAGGGGCAGCUCUGGCUGCUGCCUGGAAUUCU
rnacentral:lncRNA from 1 species